rnacentral:rRNA from 1 species
UACAGAGGUCUCAAGCGUUGUUCGGAUUCAUUGGGCGUAAAGGGUGCGUAGGCGGCGUGGUAAGUCGGGUGUGAAAUCUCGGAGCUUAACUCCGAAACUGCAUUCGAUACUGCCGUGCUUGAGGACUGGAGAGGAGACUGGAAUUUACGGUGUAGCAGUGAAAUGCGUAGAGAUCGUAAGGAAGACCAGUGGCGAAGGCGGGUCUCUGGACAGUUCCUGACACUGAGGCACGAAGGCCAGGGGAGCAAACGGG